rnacentral:misc_RNA from 1 species
GUGAUUAAAUCGAGCGUGGUCUUCAUUGACCGCUCACCCUUCUCACCAUCCACAUACACCUGUGCACUGUUUAGCCUGAGCCGGUUUUCCGGUCCAGGUAUCAUUUCAUACAAAACUCUAGUCUUAUGAAUGUAAACGUUUUAAUAACAUAAUA